rnacentral:ncRNA from 15 species
UCGCAAGGCUGAAACUUAAAGAAAUUGACGGAAGGGCACCACAAGGCGUAAACUUUUACCGCUAGCCGCAGUAACUCUGCGCCGAACAGCAGCCCGAAAGGGUGAUGUGGUGACCCUCUAAACAGUAAAUGCUAGUCCAGCACGGCUGGGCGACACGCUCAAAUUGCGGGAAACCCCUUAGAGCCUCUAGCUACCAAGCCGCCGGUCGAAAGACGGCGGUGGCCAGGUUAAUUCCCUCGGGUACGGUGAUAACGCUAGAGGAUUGGGCAAUCCGCAGCCAAGCCCCUACGUUCCGCAGGGAAUACGGGGAAGGUUCAGAGACUAAAUGGGUGUGGGUUGGGUCCUCCGGGGGAGGACACCAGCUUAAGAUAUAGUCCGGCGCCAGGGGAAACCAUGGCGGUUCAGGUAUACCUGUCUUAACGGGAGCCUGCGGCUUAAUUUGACUCAA